UGCAAGUCGAACGGUAACAGGUCUUCGGACGCUGACGAGUGGCGAACGGGUGAGUAAUACAUCGGAACGUGCCCAGUCGUGGGGGAUAACUACUCGAAAGAGUAGCUAAUACCGCAUACGAUCUGAGGAUGAAAGCGGGGGACCUUCGGGCCUCGCGCGAUUGGAGCGGCCGAUGGCAGAUUAGGUAGUUGGUGGGAUAAAAGCUUACCAAGCCGACGAUCUGUAGCUGGUCUGAGAGGACGACCAGCCACACUGGGACUGAGACACGGCCCAGACUCCUACGGGGGGCAGCAGUGGGGAAUUUUGGACAAUGGGCGAAAGCCUGAUCCAGCAAUGCCGCGUGCAGGAUGAAGGCCUUCGGGUUGUAAACUGCUUUUGUACGGAACGAAAAAGCUUCUCCUAAUACGAGAGGCCCAUGACGGUACCGUAAGAAUAAGCACCGGCUAACUACGUGCCAGCAGCCGCGGUAAUACGUAGGGUGCGAGCGUUAAUCGGAAUUACUGGGCGUAAAGCGUGCGCAGGCGGUUAUGUAAGACAGAUGUGAAAUCCCCGGGCUCAACCUGGGAACUGCAUUUGUGACUGCAUGGCUAGAGUACGGUAGAGGGGGAUGGAAUUCCGCGUGUAGCAGUGAAAUGCGUAGAUAUGCGGAGGAACACCGAUGGCGAAGGCAAUCCCCUGGACCUGUACUGACGCUCAUGCACGAAAGCGUGGGGAGCAAACAGGAUUAGAUA
rnacentral:rRNA from 1 species